GACGAACGCUGGCGGCGUGCCUAAUACAUGCAAGUCGAGCGGACCAAAGGGAGCUUGCUCCUGGAGGUUAGCGGCGAACGGGUGAGUAACACGUGGGCAACCUGCCUGUAAGACUGGGAUAACAUCGAGAAAUCGGUGCUAAUACCGGAUAAUAAAAAGAACUGCAUGGUCUUUUUUGAAAGAUGGUUUCGGCUAUCACUUACAGAUGGGCCCGCGGCGCAUUAGCUAGUUGGUGGGGUAACGGCUCACCAAGGCGACGAUGCGUAGCCGACCUGAGAGGGUGAUCGGCCACACUGGGACUGAGACACGGCCCAGACUCCUACGGGAGGCAGCAGUAGGGAAUCUU
rnacentral:rRNA from 1 species